rnacentral:tRNA from 1 species
GCGCUCAGUUGGUUAGAGCGUGGUGCUAAUAACGCCAAGGUCACAGGUUCAAUCCCUGCUCACUGCA